UGCGGUGGUCUCCGUGUUGGUACGGACGUGCGGCUGUUGACCGCGCCGACGCAGGUUCGAUUCCUGCCGCCGCAG
rnacentral:tRNA from 1 species